GUCUUUUCAAAGACAUUGAUAAAAUUGGAACGAUACAAAAAAGAUUAACAUGAACCUUACACAAAAAUGACAUGCAUAAACUUUAUGAAUUCAUUUACGUCAUU